GUACAUUUAGCUCAGUUGGUCAGAGCAAACGGCUCAUAACCGUCCGGUCGUAGGUUCGAGUUACAUAUAGUAAUUA
rnacentral:tRNA from 1 species